rnacentral:rRNA from 1 species
AUUGAACGCUGGCGGAAUGCUUUACACAUGCAAGUCGAACGGCAGCACGGGGCAACCUGGUGGCGAGUGGCGAACGGGUGAGUAAUACAUCGGAACGUGCCCAGUCGUGGGGGAUAACGUAGCGAAAGCUACGCUAAUACCGCAUACGAUCUACGGAUGAAAGCGGGGGACGUCGCAAGAGCCUCGCGCGAUUGGAGCGGCCGAUGGCAGAUUAGGUAGUUGGUGGGGUAAAGGCUCACCAAGCCUGCGAUCUGUAGCUGGUCUGAGAGGACGACCAGCCACACUGGAACUGAGACACGGUCCAGACUCCUACGGGAGGCAGCAGUGGGGGAAUUUUGGACAAUGGGCGCAAGCCUGAUCCAGCCAUUCCGCGUGCAGGAUGAAGGCCUCGGUUGUAAACUAGCUUUUGUACGGUACGAAAAGGUUUUACGUCUAAUACAGAGGGCGUCAUGACGGUACCGGUAAGAAUAAGCACCGGCUAACUACGUGCCAGCAGCCG